rnacentral:rRNA from 1 species
UACUUCAGGUACCCCCGGCUUUCAUGGCUUGACGGGCGGUGUGUACAAGGCCCGGGAACGUAUUCACCGCGCCAUGGCUGAUGCGCGAUUACUAGCGAAUCCAGCUUCACGAAGUCGGGUUGCAGACUUCGAUCCGAACUGAGAGAGGCUUUUGGGAUUAGCAUCCUGUCACCAGGUAGCGGCCUUCUGUACCCCCCAUUGUAACACGUGUGUAGCCCCGGACGUAAGGGCCGUGCUGAUUUGACGUCAUCCCCACCUUCCUCACAUCUUACGACGGCAGUCUCUCCAGAGUCCUCAGCAUGACCUGUUAGUAACUGAAGAUAAGGGUUGCGCUCGUUAUGGCACUUAAGCCGACACCUCACGGCACGAGCUGACGACAACCAUGCAGCACCUUCACAUUUGCCUUACGGCUAUACUGUUUCCAAUAUAUUCAAAUGCAAUUUAAGCCCGGGUAAGGUUCCUCGCGUAUCAUCGAAUUAAACCACAUGUUCCUCCGCUUGUGCGGGCCCCCGUCAAUUCCUUUGAGUUUCACCGUUGCCGGCGUACUCCCCAGGUGGAAUACUUAAUGCUUUCGCUUGGCCGCUUACUGUAUAUCGCAAACAGCGAGUAUUCAUCGUUUACUGUGUGGACUACCAGGGUAUCUAAUCCUGUUUGAUACCCACACUUUCGAGCAUCAGUGUCAGUUGCAGUCCAGUGAGCUGCCUUCGCAAUCGGAGUUCUUCGUGAUAUCUAAGCAUUUCACCGCUACACCACGAAUUCCGCCCACCUCUACUGUACUCAAGACAGCCAGUAUCAACUGCAAUUUUACGGUUGAGCCGCAAACUUUCACAACUGACUUAACUGUCCACCUACGCUCCCUUUAAACCCAAUAAAUCCGGAUAACGCUCGGAUCCUCCGUAUUACCGCGGCUGCUGGCACGGAGUUAGCCGAUCCUUAUUCAUAUGGUACAUACAAAAAUCCACACGUGGACCACUUUAUUCCCAUAUAAAAGAAGUUUACAACCCAUAGGGCAGUCAUCCUUCACGCUACUUGGCUGGUUCAGACUCUCGUCCAUUGACCAAUAUUCCUCACUGCUGCCUCCCGUAGGAGUUUGGACCGUGUCUCAGUUCCAAUGUGGGGGACCUUCCUCUCAGAACCCCUAUCCAUCGAAGGUUUGGUGGGCCGUUACCCCACCAACUGCCUAAUGGAACGCAUCCC